AGAGUUUGAUCCUGGCUCAGAAUCAACGCUGGCGGCGCGCUUAACACAUGCAAGUCGAACGAGAAAGCAGGAGCAAUCCUGUGAGUACAGUGGCGUACGGGUGAGUAACACGUGGAUUAUCUGCCCUGGAGUGGGGGAAUAACGCUGGGGAAACCGGCGCUAAUACCGCAUAUUCCCGAGAGGGGAAAGCAGCAAUGCGCUCGAGGAAGAGAGUCGCGGCUGAUUAACUAAUUGGUAAGGUUACCGGCUACCCAGGCUAUUAAUCGGUACCCGGCCUGAAAGGGCACACGGCCACACUGGCACUGAACACGGGCAGACUCUACGGGAGCAGCAGGGGGAUCUGCACAUGGGGGAAACCCUGAUGCAGCGACGCCGCGUGAGCGAUGAAGCCCUUCGGGGUGUAAAGCUCUUUCGGCAGGGAAGAUUAUGACGGUACCUGC
rnacentral:rRNA from 1 species